rnacentral:snoRNA from 1 species
ACAACGUGGAUACACUCGGGAGGUCACUCUCCCCGGGCUCUGUCCAGGUGGCAUAGGGGAGCAUAGGGCUCUGCCCCGUGACGUACAGUCCCUUUCCACCAACGUUGAGAUAAAGCUGGGCUUUGUUGUCUGCGCCUGCAUAUUCCUACGACUUCUCAGAGUCCUGUGGACAAUGACUGGGGAGACAAACCAUGCAGGAGACAGCU